UGAUGUAACAACUAGACCCAGGAUCCUUACAGGGGUCAUGUUUUAAUAUCUGAUGUAACAACUAGACCCAGGAUCCUUACAGGGGUCAUGUUUAAUAUCUGAUGUAACAACUAGACCCAGGAUCCUUACAGGGGUCAUGUUUAAUAUCUAAUUUAACUGAUUAAUGCUUAAUAUAUGAUGUAACAACUUACACUGCUAUAAAUUCAUGGACAGAAAAUUAUUGUUUUAUGUGACUUGAUUUUGGACCGAUCCGUCAAGACACCAACCACGAUACCGGGUGAAACCGGUUUUAAAUCAACGGGUGAAUUUGAUUGAAUAUCGCUAUGAUCCACCCUCAUCUUAAUGACUUGAAAACAAUUGUCUGAUUUUAUUUUUAAUGACUUAACAGCUGUACCAAGUUGUCCAGCUGUAGUAAAUCCUCACUGGUACCCUGGUUUAUAGAACAGGGUCUCCAUCAGGUCUGUGUGGUUCAUUGUCCUCCCUGUGUGUGUGUCUGUGUUCCAGCCUCUCACAGUGUGGUCUACCAGAACGAGGAGGGGAAGUGGGUGACUGAUCUGGCUUACUACUCGUCCUUUGAGAAGGAGGUGGAUGGAAACCAGCUGCCGGAGGUAGCAGACCAGUUCCAGGCUGAGGACUUCGUUCCAGGCAGUAACGCCAUAGAGAGAUCAUAGAAGACCAGAGGAGUUUGAGAAGGAGAACCAGUUCAUGCAGAGGAGGUGAUGGAGCCUGCCUCCACCAGUCCAGUCUCCUAUCUGACACGUCCUGGAGACUCCCAGCCAGCAGCCACUCUGAUGAGGGCCAGCCAGUGUCCCAGGAGCUGGGACAGAGGGAACCAGAGCUACCUCCGUCUGUCUCUAGGGACCUUCUUCCAGCAGCGCUCUGACCCUGGGCUGUCUAGGGGACGACCGGGAGGACGAUACAGUCAAACGGCCGUCGUUUGGUUACGUCAUCACCUCUCCAGAGAAGAGGGAACCGUUUCCCUCUGAUUCAACCAUCAGACUUCCUCUCUCAGGACAGCUCGGUCCACACGACACCCUCACACACACUGACCACGACCGCACUGAACACAGGUACGUACCGUCUGGACGUCCCGGACACUUAUUCCGUUUCCACUGUGGGGCAGGCAGUGAGACACUUAUUCCUGAUUCUCACUGUGAGGCCAGGCAGUGAGACACUUAUUCCUGAUUCUCACUGUGAGGCCAGGCAGUGGACACUUAUUCCUGAUUCUACUGUGAGGCCAGGCAGUGAGACACUUAUUCCUGAUUCUCACUGUGAGGCCAGGCAGUGAGACACUUAUUCCUGAUUCUCACUGUGAGGCCAGGCAGUGAGACACUUAUUCCUGAUUCUCACUGUGAGGCCCGGCUGUGAGACACUUAUUCCUGAUUCUCACUGUGAGGCCAGGCUGUGAGAACCCUUAUUCCUGAUUCUCACUGUGAGGCCAGGCUGUGAGACACUUAUUCCUGAUUCUCACUGUGAGGCCAGGCUGUGAGACACUUAUUCCUGAUUCUCACUGUGAGGCCAGGCUGUGAGACACUUAUUCCUGAUUCUCACUGUGAGGCCAGGCUGUGAGACACUUAUUCCUUAUUCUCACUGUGGGC
ensembl:lncRNA